rnacentral:misc_RNA from 1 species
AAUCGCAAUCCCCCCGGGUUUUCUGAACCCGAGGUGGACUUGGACAUGGGCGCUGCCGUCUUGUACGGCUCGCCUUAAAUGAAUCAGUGGGAUCUUCAGCAUCCGUGGCAGACGUAAUAAGUUUCGUCUCGUCCCUUGCUGUGAGGACCGCUCAUAACCUGCCAUCGCGCAACCAAUUUUGA